rnacentral:tRNA from 1 species
GGGAAUGUAGCUCAGUGGUAGAACGCUUGCCUAGCAUUCAUGAGGCUCUGGGUUCAAUCCCUAGCACCA